rnacentral:miRNA from 1 species
UGAUGAUGAUGAUGAUGAUGAUGAUGAUGAUGAUGAUUAUCAUCAUCAUCAUCCACGAUG